rnacentral:lncRNA from 1 species
GGCCAAUCUUUAUGGCGGUUUUGUUUGUUUUUAUGUUUUUGUUUUUAUUACAAGCGAUAGUCUAAAUUAUAGGGAAAGGAGUUUCGAACCUAAGACCCAAAUGUAAGUAGUAAAAACAACAAAUAGAUAGCUAGCUAGUCUACAUGGGAAUUAAAUUAAGUAAAAGAUUCAAAAUAAAUUUCUGGAAAACAUAAGAUUAUUAACUGUUAUUAAGUUUAAU